UACAGAGGUCCCAAGCGUUGUUCGGAUUUACUGGGCGUAAAGGGCGCGUAGGCGGCGUGGUAAGUCACUUGUGAAAUCUCUGAGCUUAACUCAGAACGGCCAAGUGAUACUGCUGUGCUAGAGUGCAGAAGGGGCAAUCGGAAUUCUUGGUGUAGCGGUGAAAUGCGUAGAUAUCAAGAGGAACACCUGAGGUGAAGACGGGUUGCUGGGCUGACACUGACGCUGAUGCGCGAAAGCUAGGGGAGCAAACGGG
rnacentral:rRNA from 1 species